rnacentral:rRNA from 1 species
AUUGAACGCUGGCGGCAUGCUUUACACAUGCAAGUCGAACGGCAACAGGCCGCAAGGUGCUGACGAGUGGCGAACGGGUGAGUAAUGCAUCGGAACGUGCCCAGUCGUGGGGGAUAACUACUCGAAAGAGUAGCUAAUACCGCAUACGAUCUAUGGAUGAAAGCGGGGGACCGUAAGGCCUCGCGCGAUUGGAGCGGCCGAUGUCAGAUUAGGUAGUUGGUGGGGUAAAGGCUCACCAAGCCAACGAUAUGUAGCUGGUCUGAGAGGACGACCAGCCACACUGGGACUGAGACACGGCCCAGACUCCUACGGGAGGCAGCAGUGGGGAAUUUUGGACAAUGGGCGCAAGCCUGAUCCAGCAAUGCCGCGUGCAGGAAGAAGGCCUUCGGGUUGUAAACUUCUUUUGUACGGAACGAAACGGCUCUGGUUAAUACCCGGGGCUAAUGACGGUACCUUAAGAAUAAGCACCGGCUAACUACGUG